UGAUGAAGACAUCCAGUACCGCCUGUUGACAAGAUUUGUGAAUGAGGCAGUCAUGUGCCUGCAGGAAGGGAUCUUGGCCACACCUGCAGAGGGAGACAUUGGAGCAGUCUUUGGGCUCGGCUUCCCACCUUGUCUUGGAGGGCCUUUCAGAUUCACAGAUCUGUACGGUGCUCAGAAGAUAGCAGACCGGCUCAGGAAGUAUGAGGAUGCCUAUGGAAAACAGUUCACCCCAUGCCAGCUGCUAAUUGACUACGCCAACAAUCCUAACAAGAAGUUCUACCAGUGAGUGGGGCUUUUGCCCCGCCGAGUUGGCGCACUAGCCCCAGCUGCCAGCAGUGCUGGUUCUCUAUCAGAGUGGUGUCCAGACUUCAUCAGAGUAACCAGAAGGAAGAUGAACUCGGACAUUGGGUUUGCUCUUUGCUCAAAGUGCCUUCAGCCAUCUCUCCCUCUUGAUGAAGUCUGUGAAAUAGAGUUUACACUUCAUGUUGGAAGGUGGAACCCACCAUGCUCAUUUUAUAAGCCCCAAGGCCCAGAAUGGCAGCAUAGAGCCAUCUGGAGCUGUCUUUGCUGCCUGCUCCUCCCUGGAGGCCUGGGUGGCCUAUGGUGGUAAGGACAAACAUACAUAACAAUAAAAACCAAGCUCUGUAGCAGCC